rnacentral:rRNA from 1 species
CGCGAAUGGCUCAUUAUAACAGCUAUAAUUUACUUGAUCUUGACACAAUCCUACUUGGAUAACUGUGGUAAUUCUAGAGCUAAUACAUGCAUUGAAGCUCUGACCUCACGGGAAGAGUGCAUUUAUUAGAACAAAACCAAGCGGCUUCGGCUGUUUCUGGUUGACUCAUAGUAACUGAGCUGAUCGCAUGGUCUUGUACCGGCGACGUGUCUUUCAAGUAUCUGCCGUAUCAACUUUCGAUGGUAGUGUAUCUGACUACCAUGGUGAUCACGCGUAACGGAGAAUAAGGGUUCGACUCCGGAGAGUUCGCCUGAGAAAUCGCGAACACAUCUAAGGAAGGCAGCAGGCGCGAAAAUUACCCACUCUCAGCACGAGGAGGUAGUGACGAAAAAUAACGAGACCGUUCUCUUUCGAGGCCGGUCAUCGGAAUGGGUACAGUUUAAACCCUUUAACGAGUAUCUAUGAGAGGGCAAGUCUGGUGCCAGCAGCCGCGGUAAUUCCAGCU